GGCACAGCUGCCCGGAAAGCUGACCCUCUCACCGCUGACUAUUGUGUCUGGCCAAUCGCUUAUGAAGAGCCCAACGCAGCAGGAGCAGUCCACUUUUGCUCCUCUCCUCUCCUCUUCUCUUCUGCUCCUCUCCUCUCAUUCCCUCUCCUCUCAUUUCCUCUCAUUUCCUCUCCUCUUCUUUUCUUCUCCUCUCCUCCCCUCUCCUCCCCUCUCUUUUCCUUUCCUCUCCUCUCCUCUCCCCUCCUCUCCUCUUCUCUUCUCUUCCCUCCUCUUCUCUUCUUUUCUCUUCUUUUCUCUUCUUUUCUCUUUUCUUCUCUUCUCUUCUCUUCUUUCCUCUUCUCUUCUCUUCUCUCCUCUUCUCUGCUCUUCUCUUCUCUUCUCUUCCCUUCUCUUCUCUUCUCUUCUCUCCCCCUCUCUUCUCUUCUCUUCUCUUCUCCUGCUCCUCUAAUCUCUUCUCCUCUCUUCUGCUCUCCUCUUCUCUUCUGGUCCUCUUCUUCUCCUCUCCUCUCCUCUUCUGCCCCUCCCCCCUCCUCCCCUUCCCCUUCCUCCCCUCUCCUUCUCUCCUCCCCUCCUCUCCUCUCCUCUUCUCUUCCUCUCCUCUCCUCUUCUUUCCUCCUCUUCUCCUCUCCUCUCCUCCCCUCUCAUCUCCUCUUCUCUCCUCUCCUCCUCUCUUCUCUUCUCUUCUCUUCUCUCCUCUUCUCUCCUCUUCUGCUCCUCUCAUCUCCUCUCCUCUCAUUUUCUCUCCUCUCAUUUCCUCUCCUCUCCUCUCCUUUUCUCUCCUCUCCUCUCCUCUUCUUUCCUCCUCUUCUCCUCUCCUCUCCUCUCAUCUUCUCUUCUCUUCUCUCCUCUUCUCUUCUCUUCCCUCCUCUUCUCUUCUUUUCUCUUCUCUUCUCUUCUCCUGCUCCUCUAAUCUCUUCUCAUCUCUUCUGCUCUCCUCUUCUCUUCUUUUCCUCUUCUGCUCCUCUCCUCUCAUCUCCUCUCCUCUCUUUUCCUCUCAUCUCCUCUCCUCUCAUUUCCUCUCCUCUUCUUUUCUGCUUCUCUUCUCUCCUCUCAUUUUCUCUCCUCUCAUUUCCUCUCCUCUCCUCCCCUCUUCUGCUCCUCUCCUCUCCUCUCCUCUUUUGCUCCUCUCCUCUCCUCUCAUUUCCUCUCAUCUCCUCUCCUCUCAUUUCCUCUCCUCUCCUCUCCUCUUCUGCUCCUCUCCUCUCAUUUCCUCUCCUCUCCUCUUCUGCUCCUUUCCUCUCCUCUCCUCUUCUGCUCCUCUCCUCUCCUCUCCUCUUAUUUCCUCACCUCUCCUCUCCUCUUCUGCUCCUCUCAUCUCCUCUCCUCUCCUCUCAUUUCCUCUCCUCUCCUCUCCUCUCCUCUCCUCUUCUGCUCCUCCCCUCUCCUCUCAUUUCCUCUCAUCUCCUCUCCUCUCAUUUCCUCUCCUCUCCUCUUAUGCUCCUCUCCUCUCAUUUCCUCUCCUCUCAUCUUCUCUCCUCUCCUCUUCUCUUCUGCUCCUCUCAUCUUCUCUCCUCUCCUCUCCUCUCAUUUCCUCUCCUCUUCUGCUCCUCUCAUCUCAUCUCAUCUCAUCUCUUCUCUUCUCAUCUCUUCUGCUCUCCUCUUCUCUUCUGGUCCUCUUCUGCUCCUCUCCUCUCCACUAAUCUCCUCUCCUUUCCUCUCCUCUCCUCUCCUCUCCUCUUCUGCUCCUCUCAUCUCCUCUCCUCUCCUCUCCCCUCCUUUCCUCUCCUCUCCUUUCCUCUCCUCUCAUCUUCUCCCCUCUCCUCUUCUCUUCUGCUCCUCUCCUCUCAUUUCCUCUCCUCUUCUCUUUUGCUCCUCUCCUCUCAUUUCCUCUCCUCUCAUUUCCUCUCCUCUCCUCUCCUCUCCUGCUCCUCUCCUCUCCUCUCUUUUCCUCUCCUCUUCUCUUUUGCUCCUCUCCUCUCCUUUCCUCUCCUCUCAUUUCCUCUCCUCUCCUCUUCUCCUCUUCUCCUCUCCUCUCCUCUUCUGCUCCUCUCCUCUCCUCUCCUCUUAUUUCCUCACCUCUCCUCUCCUCUUCUGCUCCUCUCAUCUCCUCUCCUCUCCUCUCAUUUCCUCUCCUCUUCUCUUCUGCUCCUCUCCUCUCAUUUCCUCUCCUCUCAUUUCCUCUCCUCUCCUCUUCUGCUCCUCUCCUCUCAUCUUAUUUCCUCUCCUCUCCUUUCCUCUCCUCUCCUCUUCUUCUCCUCUCCCCUCCUUUCCUCUCCUCUAUAA
ensembl:lncRNA